AACGGUCACAUCACGUUGAAACACUAGUUCUCGUAGGAUCACCGAAGUUAAGCAACAUCAAGCCUGGUUAGUACCUUGAUGGGUGAGCGUUUGGAAGUACCAGGAGCUGUAAG